GGGGGCGGGGCGGGGCGCGCGCUCCCUCUGGCGGCGGAGAUUUCUUUUCUGAAUAAGGGGCUGCAGGGGCUGCCUCUUCCCACAACAUCCUCCCUCUGUUUCUGGAAGCAGUGAUCACCAAGGAGGCCAUCGCAGAGGAGCUGCUGUGGUGCCUGAGGAGCAAAAGGUCUUUAUGAAGAGAGGAAAUGAGAGAGGGGAAGAACGGUGUUGACUGACAUGGAAAGGUUCCUACUUGGACGUGCAGCUGCACUGCCAGCAAUAAAGAAGGGCCUGUCAAUACUGAUACUGGACAACAGCAGCUAACGAUGAUAACUCUGACUGCACAUCGGAACUUGGUAAAAGGACGGGAACGUGAACCAGAAAGCUGCAGGUCUGCAG